AUGGCAGCAGAAGAGGCGUGGACAUGUCCCAUCUGCCGUGACGUGCAAAAGGACAUUGCCUACGCAGUACCGUGCCGUCACGCAUUCUGCCUCGGCUGCAUCCUGCGGUGGGCCAAGCAGAAAGAGACCUGCCCGCUCUGCAGGAGGACAGUGGCUGUCGUUAAGGUUGCUGCGUGGGACGACGACGACGACCUGGAUUUCAUCAUCCGUCCCCCAGCACCACCAGUACCUGCCUGCUUCCAGGCAGGCAUCGUUCCCAUCCACAGCCCCCACCACCAUGCACCAUCCCCUCCACCCUUUCUGCUGCUAACAGAGGAGCAGGAGGCUGUGGAGGCGGAGGACGGGCGUACGGUGGGCGGUCUCCUGCUCGAGGUCUGGGCAGCCCUGUUCAGGCAGCACCGGGAGAUCCUCGACCCCGUGCUGCCCUGGCUGCGCCAGGAGCUGCAAGACAUCUUUGGGACACAGUGGUGGGAGGCAAUGGCUGCCGAGAACCUCAUCCUGAACGCCCUGUGUGACAUCGGGCUGGACAGCGAGGCCCUGAUCCAGCUGCUGCGGCCUGCCCUGGGACACAGAGUGGAGACGCUCAUCCGAGGACUUGUGGACACCAUCGUGAGCCGGUGGGGUGAGGAGGCCCACGGGCAGCUGGGCCUCCAGGGCAUCCACGUGUCUGGAGGGCAGGAGGAGGGCCCUGCAGCCAGGGGGCAGGAGGACAGCUCUGUGGCCGCCCCUGGCCCCACAGCCUCCCCACAAGGGACCCUCGUGUCGAGGCCUGGACCCAUUGGCAGCACUGGAAGUCCCAACAGGGAGGAGCAGCCCAGCACACCAGAGGCUGUCCUUCCUGGGGAUCCCAGUCACCCCCAUGCUGCACGCAUCCCGAGGGAACACGAGGAGCCCCAUGAGGAGACGGAGCAGGUGGCAGCAGCAGGUCCCUCUGCCCAGGGCAGCAGCCCCUCCGCUCCUGGCCACUCGCCUGUGAGGGCCCGGCGGCUCCAUAAGAGGAGGGCUGGCAGUGACCUGGACCCACAGCAGCCCUGCAAGAGGCCGCCCCCUCGGAAGCACUAA
rnacentral:lncRNA from 1 species